GAUGAAGAACGCAGCGAAAUGCGAUAAGUAAUGUGAAUUGCAGAAUUCAGUGAAUCAUCGAAUCUUUGAACGCACCUUGCGCUCCUUGGUAUUCCGAGGAGCAUGCCUGUUUGAGUGUCAUUAAUAUAUCAACCUUCUCUUUUUUGAGUUGUUUGGAUGUGGGGGUUUGCUGGCCUCUUAAAUGAUUCAGCUCCCCUGAAAUGCAUUAGCAGAACAACCUGUUCAUUAGCGUGAUAAUUAUCUAUGCUAUUGAAUGUGAGGGCAGUUCAGCUUUCUAACCGUCCUCGGACAAUUCAUCAUUAAUGUGACCUCAAAUCAGGUAGGACUACCCGCUGAACUUAAGCAUAUCAAUAAGCGGAGGA
rnacentral:misc_RNA from 1 species